AUGAACGCUGGCGGCGUGCUUAAUACAUGCAAGUCGAACGAGGAGCUUUUGUCUUCGGAUAGAGGUUUCCUAGUGGCGAACGGGUGAGUAACGCGUUGGUGACCUGCCCCGAAGUGGGGGAUAACAGUCCGAAAGGAUUGCUAAUACCCCAUGUGGUCAUUUGGAUUAGAUGCCUUAUGACUAAACGGAUUUAUUCGCUUCGGGAGGGGCCUGCGUCCCAUCAGCUAGUUGGUAAGGUAAUGGCUUACCAAGGCGAUGACGGGUAGGGGACCUGAGAGGGUGGCCCCCCACAAUGGAACUGAAACACGGUCCAUACACCUACGGGUGGCAGCAGUAGGGAAUAUUGGUUAAUCUGGGAAACCGGGAACCAGCAACGCCGCGUGCACGAUGAAGGCCUUCGGGUUGUAAAGUGCUUUUUGAAAGGAUGAGGAAGGACAGUACUUUCAGAAUAAGCUUCGGCUAACUACGU
rnacentral:rRNA from 1 species